rnacentral:misc_RNA from 1 species
AUGAGGAAGUACAAGUCUAACCGGCGAGUACAAAUCGAUGAGUCUCAGUUGCCCAAGUACGACGAUGUAGAUGACGGCUUCGCCGUAGAUGGAAAUUACGAUGAGGAAGAUGAGAGUAGAUUGCGAUUGAAACCAUCGAGGAGCAAUGUGAGCAAAGAUCAUGAGCCCUUCAUGGGCAUCAAGGUUCGAAGAUCUUCAUAGAGAUAUAAAAGGGGACUACCUCGACGUUCCGUCGCAUCCUUAUUUGAUGAAGAUUUUGCAAAAACAAGUGCUUAAUAGAAGAUUUCACCCCUUUGUGAGGAAGUAUAUUUCAGGGACAAUCUGACGUUUUCCCAAGUUGUGCUCCAUUUGAUUUUUGCAGUUUCGAGUAUCAUGCAGCUGCUGAAUU